rnacentral:tRNA from 1 species
GCCUAGUUAGCUUAGUUGGUAGUGCGUCUGCCUUCUAAGCGCUAGGCCGCGGGUUCGAUUCCUGCCCGAGGCG